AACGCAUUUUGCGCUUCCAGGUAGGCCUGGGAGCACACCUGUCUGAGUAUCAUUUUCUCCCUUCUUUCAUUAAGUUGAAGAUAAUGUGGGUCCCAGGAGUUAAAUCUUGCGUCCUACGAAAAGCAUUAGAUUAUGUCAUUAUUGACGAAUCGUUUUCUUAAACAAAUUUUCUUGACUAGAGCAAAUCUGUUUGUUCUCUUCCUGAAGCGCGUUAGGAAAGUUUACUUUCUCACGUUUUGGGAAUGACAAAAAAGUGAUCUCUAAUGGAAAAUUUAACAUCAUUCGUGAUCUCAGAUCAGGUGGGACUACCCGCUGAACUUAA
rnacentral:rRNA from 1 species